GUAGUCUCGCACAGAUGCAUAUCAAUAAGCGGAGGAAAAGAAACUAACAAGGAUUCCCCUAGUAACGGCGAGUGAAGCGGGAAGAGCUCAAAUUUGAAAUCUUAAAGGGUUUCCCUUUACUAAUUGUAGUUUAAAGAAGUGUUUUCUGUUGAGGUUUUGGUAAAAGUUCUUUGGAAUAGGACAUCAUAGAGGGUGAGAAUCCCGUAUUUGACCUUUACUUUCAACUUUGUGAUACACUUUCAAAGAGUCGGAUUGUUUGGGAAUGCAGUCCAAAAUGGGUGGUAAAUUUCAUCUAAAGCUAAAUAUUGGCGAGAGACCGAUAGCGAACAAGUACCGUGAGGGAAAGAUGAAAAGAACUUUGAAAAGAGAGUUAAACAGUACGUGAAAUUGUCAAAAGGGAAGCGUUUGACACCAGUGUUGUUUUUCUGAAAAUCAACUUAAAGAACUGUUUAUGCUAAGCUGUUUAGACUUAUCAGCUAACUGUUUAGUUUUGAGCUUUUCUCUAAUGCACUUUUCAGUUAACAAGUCAACAUCAAUUUCUUUUGCUGUAAAAAAGCUUGAGGAAGGUGGCUUGAGAUUCGUCUUAAGUGUUUAUAGCCUCUUGCCUAUGCAGUCGGAGAGAUUGAGGUCUGCAGCGUAGAUCCUUCGGGGCUAAAUGCAUUUGUGCUAAGUUAUAGCAUUUUAUAGACAACUUGUUGACUAUGAUUUGUCUUGUAGCUUACUCGCUUAUGUUAUUUUACCUACGCUUAGGAUGUUGAAGACUCUACAGAGAUA
rnacentral:rRNA from 1 species